rnacentral:lncRNA from 1 species
AGAAAACACUGAGAUAACCAACUAUGAUAAACUGCAGUUGGAAUUUAACGACCCAGUGGAUGGGAAACAAAGGGAAGAAAUGAGACUUGAAAAAACAAACAAACAGGGAGAUCAAGUGAAGGGUGGGCAGACCUCUAUUUGACUGAUGCUUGCUCCCUUUGAAGAUCUUCACAGGAUAAGAAGAAGGGACAGAGAAGAGCCCCCAGUGACAGCUUGAGGAGACCACCAGCUGUGUAAAGUCUAUGCAAAGUGUUGAGACCACUAGCUCAAUCUCUGCAGCUCAUGCUGGAAAAAAUCAGAGAGAAACAUCUGAGGCACUUCAGGAGAGAGCAGUUGGAGAACACAUACACAGUCAUCAGUAUCUAUCCACAUCUCAUCUUCCUACACAAGGCCACUGUCACACCACUUGGGGAAAAAUUGGAAAUCAGACACACGAGUGUGGCUUUGUUUUCCUGGAGCUCCUCAGGGGAAGGUGGAAACAUGAAUAUCUAUUGGCACCUACUUCUACAAAAGACCAGCUGAAACAUCUAACCUGGUGGGACUGAGCAACUACUAGAUUCUUCGACUUCCCAUUCACAGUGACUUCUGGCUGUUUCCACUGACUUGGGCUGAUUGACAGAGACUCUUCUGUUUGUUCUGGAUGAACUGCCAUUGCUGAUUCAUAGAGAGAAUCUACAAGUGACUUGAGGUACUGCUGCUGAUCUGUGUGAACUGAACUGCAAAUAUUUUGACAAGAUUGGAAUUGCCCCAAAUAAAUGUUUCUAAAUAGGUCCACAUC